rnacentral:rRNA from 1 species
GAUGAACGCUGGCGGCGUGCCUAAUACAUGCAAGUCGAGCGAACAGACGAGGAGCUUGCUCCUCUGACGUUAGCGGCGGACGGGUGAGUAACACGUGGAUAACCUACCUAUACGACUGGGAUAACUUCGGGAAACCGGAGCUAAUACCGGAUAAUAUAUUGAACCGCAUGGUUCAAUAGUGAAAGACGGUUUUGCUGUCACUUAUAGAUGGAUCCGCGCCGCAUUAGCUAGUUGGUAAGGUAACGGCUUACCAAGGCAACGAUGCGUAGCCGACCUGAGAGGGUGAUCGGCCAGACUGGAACUGAGACAGGGUCCAGACUCCUACGGGAGGCAGCAGUAGAGAAUCUUACGCAAUGGGGGAGAGCCUGACGGAGCAACGCCGCGUGAGUGAUGAAGGUCUUCGGAUCGUAAAACUCUGUUAUUAGGGAAGAACAAAUGUGUAAGUAACUAUGCACGUCUUGACGGUACCUAAUCAGAAAGCCACGGCUAACUACGUG